UACGUAGGGGGCAAGCGUUGUCCGGAUUUAUUGGGCGUAAAGAGCGUGUAGGCGGCUAGGUAGGUCCGUUGUGAAAACUCGAGGCUCAACCUCGAGACGUCGAUGGAAACCAUCUAGCUAGAGUCCGGAAGAGGAGAGCGGAAUUCCUGGUGUAGCGGUGAAAUGCGCAGAUAUCAGGAAGAACACCCGUGGCGAAGGCGGCUCUCUGGUACGUGACUGACGCUGAGACGCGAAAGCGUGGGGAGCGAACAGG
rnacentral:rRNA from 1 species